rnacentral:rRNA from 1 species
ACUCCUACGGGAGGCAGCAGUGGGGAAUAUUGGACAAUGGGGGCACCUGCAUCCAGCCAUGCCGCGUGAGUGAAGAAGGCCCUAGGGUCGUAAAGCUCUUUCAACUGUGAAGAUAAUGACGGUAGCAGUAGAAGAAACCCCGGCUAACUCCGUGCCAGCAGCCGCGGUAAUACGGAGGGGGUUAGCGUUGUUCGGAAUUACUGGGCGUAAAGCGCACGUAGGCGGACUAUUAAGUUAGAGGUGAAAUCCCAGGGCUCAACCCUGGAACUGCCUUUAAUACUGGUAGUCUUGAUUCGAGAGAGGUGAGUGGAAUUCCGAGUGUAGAGGUGAAAUUCGUAGAUAUUCGGAGGAACACCAGUGGCGAAGGCGGCUCACUGGCUCGAUACUGACGCUGAGGUGCGAAAGUGUGGGGAGCAAACAGGAUUAGAUACCCUGGUAGCUACGAG